rnacentral:rRNA from 1 species
CAUGAAGCUGGAAUCGCUAGUAAUCGCGGAUCAGAAUGCCGCGGUGAAUACGUUCCCGGGUCUUGUACACACCGCCCGUCACACCAUGGGAGUCGGAAAUGCCCGAAGUCUGUGACCCAACCGGAAGGAAGGAGCAGCCGAAGGCAGGUCUGAUGACUGGGGUGAAGUCGUAACAAGGUACC